UACGUAGGUGACAAGCGUUAUCCGGAUUUACUGGGCGUAAAGGGAGCGUAGGCGGAUAAUUAAGUGGGAUGUGAAAUACCCGGGCUCAACCUGGGUGCUGCAUUCCAAACUGGUUAUCUAGAGUGCAGGAGAGGAGAGUGGAAUUCCUAGUGUAGCGGUGAAAUGCGUAGAGAUUAGGAAGAACACCAGUAGCGAAGGCGACUCUCUGGACUGUAACUGACGCUAAGGCUCGAAAGCGUGGGGAGCAAACAGG
rnacentral:rRNA from 1 species